CGGAAAGGCCCUUCGGGGUGCUCGAGUGGCGAACGGGUGAGUAACACGUGGGUGAUCUGCCCUGCACUUUGGGAUAAGCCUGGGAAACUGGGUCUAAUACCGAAUAGGACCACGGCAUUCAUGUGUUGUGGUGGAAAGCUUUUGCGGUGUGGGAUGGGCCCGCGGCCUAUCAGCUUGUUGGUGGGGUAAUGGCCUACCAAGGCGACGACGGGUAGCCGGCCUGAGAGGGUGACCGGCCACACUGGGACUGAGAUACGGCCCAGACUCCUACGGGAGGCAGCAGUGGGGAAUAUUGCACAAUGGGCGCAAGCCUGAUGCAGCGACGCCGCGUGAGGGAUGACGGCCUUCGGGUUGUAAACCUCUUUCAGUACCGACGAAGCGCGAGUGACGGUAGGUACAGAAGAAGGACCGGCCAACUACGUGCCAGCAGCCGCGGUAAUACGUAGGGUCCGAGCGUUGUCCGGAAUUACUGGGCGUAAAGAGCUCGUAGGUGGUUUGUCGCGUUGUUCGUGAAAACUCACAGCUUAACUGUGGGCGUGCGGGCGAUACGGGCAGACUGGAGUACUGCAGGGGAGACUGGAAUUCCUGGUGUAGCGGUGGAAUGCGCAGAUAUCAGGAGGAACACCGGUGGCGAAGGCGGGUCUCUGGGCAGUAACUGACGCUGA
rnacentral:rRNA from 2 species